rnacentral:rRNA from 2 species
CGAUGAAGAACGCAGCG